UGGCUCAGGACGAACGCUGGCGGCGUGCUUAACACAUGCAAGUCGAACGAUGAUGCCCAGCUUGCUGGGUGGAUUAGUGGCGAACGGGUGAGUAACACGUGAGUAACCUGCCCCUGACUCUGGGAUAAGCGUUGGAAACGACGUCUAAUACUGGAUAUGACUGCCGGCCGCAUGGUCUGGUGGUGGAAAGAUUUUUUGGUUGGGGAUGGACUCGCGGCCUAUCAGCUUGUUGGUGAGGUAAUGGCUCACCAAGGCGACGACGGGUAGCCGGCCUGAGAGGGUGACCGGCCACACUGGGACUGAGACACGGCCCAGACUCCUACGGGAGGCAGCAGUGGGGAAUAUUGCACAAUGGGCGAAAGCCUGAUGCAGCAACGCCGCGUGAGGGAUGACGGCCUUCGGGUUGUAAACCUCUUUUAGUAGGGAAGAAGCGAAAGUGACGGUACCUGCAGAAAAAGCACCGGCUAACUACGUGCCAGCAGCCGCGGUAAUACGUAGGGUGCAAGCGUUGUCCGGAAUUAUUGGGCGUAAAGAGCUCGUAGGCGGUUUGUCGCGUCUGCUGUGAAAUCCCGAGGCUCAACCUCGGGCUUGCAGUGGGUACGGGCAGACUAGAGUGCGGUAGGGGAGAUUGGAAUUCCUGGUGUAGCGGUGGAAUGCGCAGAUAUCAGGAGGAACACCGAUGGCGAAGGCAGAUCUCUGGGCCGUAACUGACGCUGAGGAGCGAAAGCGUGGGGAGCGAACAGGAUUAGAUACCCUGGUAGUCCACGCCGUAAACGUUGGGCGCUAGAUGUAGGGACCUUUCCACGGUUUCUGUGUCGUAGCUAACGCAUUAAGCGCCCCGCCUGGGGAGUACGGCCGCAAGGCUAAAACUCAAAGGAAUUGACGGGGGCCCGCACAAGCGGCGGAGCAUGCGGAUUAAUUCGAUGCAACGCGUAAGAAUCCUUACCAAGGCUUGACAUACACCGGAAACGGCCAGAGAUGGUCGCCCCCUUGUGGUCGGUGUACAGGUGGUGCAUGGUUGUCGUCAGCUCGUGUCGUGAGAUGUUGGGUUAAGUCCCGCAACGAGCGCAACCCUCGUUCUAUGUUGCCAGCGCGUUAUGGCGGGGACUCAUAGGAGACUGCCGGGGUCAACUCGGAGGAAGGUGGGGAUGACGUCAAAUCAUCAUGCCCCUUAUGUCUUGGGCUUCACGCAUGCUACAAUGGCCGGUACAAAGGGCUGCGAUACCGUAAGGUGGAGCGAAUCCCAAAAAGCCGGUCUCAGUUCGGAUUGAGGUCUGCAACUCGACCUCAUGAAGUCGGAGUCGCUAGUAAUCGCAGAUCAGCAACGCUGCGGUGAAUACGUUCCCGGGCCUUGUACACACCGCCCGUCAAGUCAUGAAAGUCGGUAACACCCGAAGCCGGUGGCCUAACCCUUGUGGAAGGAGCCGUCGAAGGUGGGAUCGGUGAUUAGGACUAAGUCGUAACAAGGUAAC
rnacentral:rRNA from 1 species